rnacentral:rRNA from 1 species
UACGGGGGGUGCGAGCGUUGUCCGGAAUUACGGGGCGUAAAGGGCGCGUAGGUGGUUUGAUAAGGGUGUGGUGAAAGCCCGGGGCUCAACCCCGGGUCUGCCGUGCCGACUGUCAAACUCGAGGGCUGUAGAGGCAGGCGGAAUUCCGGGUGUAGCGGUGGAAUGCGCAGAUAUCAGGAGGAACACCGAUGGCGAAGGCAGGUCUCUGGGCCACUACUGACGCUGAGAAGCGAAAGCAUGGGGAGCGAACAGG